rnacentral:ncRNA from 12 species
UCUGUCAAACGGGUUAACGGUUCUUCUGAGAGGUUCAGAAGAUGAAAAAGGAAUCGUGUGAGAAUCACGAGCAGACGUUGCUACUGUAUGUGACCAUCGGAAAGGGUUUGUCCUCAAUGUCCAUUGCUACCCCUGAAGUAGUGAGAAGGAUGACAGAUACCGUCACAAGCCAGGAGACUUGCCAUAACCUUGCUGAUUGCG